GGAGUAGGCACCGUCUCGCGCACACUGAUCCCCAAACACCACAAAAAGGAAGAGAACCCUCAAUUCACAAGAAAGCCCUAAAACCCUCUCUGAUUUGCAAUUCCAUCAAUCUCGCAUCAAAACACUCCUUUAGCCAUGGACGCUCAGAGAGCUCUACUAGAUGAACUUAUGGGUGCAACUCGUAAUUUGACGGAGGAAGAGAGAAAGGGAUUCAAGGAGAUUAAUUGGGACGAUAAGGAGGUUUGUGCUUGCUAUAUGGUUCGAUUUUGCCCGCAUGAUCUCUUCGUCAAUACGCGGAGCGAUCUAGGACCUUGCCCUAGACUACACGAUCAAAAGUUGAAAGAAAGUUUUGAGAAGUCUCCAAGACAUGACACAUAUGUGCCAAAAUUUGAAGCAGAACUUGCUCAGUUUUGCGAAAAAUUGGUGAUGGACUUGGAUAGAAGAGUUAGGCGUGGGCGUUCUCGCCUUUCUCAAGAGGUGGAACCCACCCCAGCACCUCCACUAUCAGCUGAAAAGUCUGAACAGUUUUCUGUGUUGGAAGAAAAAAUAAAGAACCUACUGGAACAAGUGGAGGCCCUAGGUGAAGCUGGGAAGGUUGAUGAAGCUGAAGCACUCAUGAGAAAGGUGGAGGCACUUAAUGCUGAGAAGACAGCAUUGGCCCAACAACCCCAGAAUGAUAAAGUGCUGAUGCUUGCACAGGAAAAAAAGAUGGCCCUAUGUGAAAUCUGUGGCUCUUUUCUCGUAGCAAAUGAUGCCGUUGAGAGGACACAAUCUCACAUUACAGGGAAGCAACACAUUGGCUAUGGCAUGGUCCGGGAUUUCAUCAUCGAGUACAAGGAAGCUAAGGAGAAGGCGAGGGAAGAUGAAAGAUUAGCUAGGGAGAAAGAAGCAGAAGAGAGAAGGAAGCAGAGGGAGAAGGAUAAUGAGAGGAAGAGAAGUGGUUCGGGGGAUAGAGACAGGCAUCUUGAUCGUGGUCGAGACAGGGAACGGGAUAGAUAUCAUGAACGAGAUCAAGAUCGUGAAAGGUCUAGGGAUGGGAGCUCUAGAAGUAGUCGAGAAGGAGGAAGAGGGAUGGAUUGGAGGUCCAGGAAUGGUAGAGAAGGAGCCAGGGAGAGGUACCGUGAUCGGAGUAGAUCACGUUCGCCUGCUAGGCAUGGUCACAGAAGGUCACCUAGAAGUCCAGUUCGCCCGUAUUAGUCAAUUGAGUUGAUGUGUGUCUGACCUUUAAAAUUACGAGCUUUAUUGAGACUAUACCAUCUGUCUCCCUUUCAUCGAUAUUAUUAAUGGAGAAAAGGGUUGAGAGUUAUUUGUUAGAAGAAAUGUUGUUUCCAAAUGCAUGGGAGACCACUUAUUUGGGCUGGGAUACGAGGUAAAUAUUAAGAGGUAACCAAAAAUUACAAUCUGCAGAAUAGUUUGUUUCUAUUUAGUUUGCAGGAUAAGGCAGGUAAUCUGGUGAACCUUGAUGGUCGGAUUGCUGCUAGUAAGUAGAUAUUUUAUGCUAAGGAAUGGCUUGUGCAGGGAAAUAUACUUUUACUGAGUAGUCGCUGCUUUUGGGACUACAUAUAUUUUAUCCAAACAAAACAGGAGAUGAGAAAACCAAAAAUAGUUGCAUUUGGAGUGGAGGAGCGCAGGUGCAAUCCUUGUCUGCAAAAAAAUAUAAUUGUAGGUACUUUGGCAAGUUAUGAAUUACCUGUCACUGUAAAUGGAUUAGAUUAACAUUUAUUGAAGUAAUUUUGAAUCAAA